AUUGAACGCUGGCGGCAGGCCUAACACAUGCAAGUCGAGCGGAUGACGGGAGCUUGCUCCUUGAUUCAGCGGCGGACGGGUGAGUAAUGCCUAGGAUUCUGCCUGGUAGUGGGGGGCAACGUUUCGAAAGGAACGCUAAUACCGCAUACGUCCUACGGGAGAAAGCAGGGGACCUUCGGGCCUUGCGCUAUCAGAUGAGCCUAGGUCGGAUUAGCUAGUUGGUGGGGUAAUGGCUCACCAAGGCGACGAUCCGUAACUGGUCUGAGAGGAUGAUCAGUCACACUGGAACUGAGACACGGUCCAGACUCCUACGGGAGGCAGCAGUGGGGAAUAUUGGACAAUGGGCGAAAGCCUGAUCCAGCCAUGCCGCGUGUGUGAAGAAGGUCUUCGGAUUGUAAAGUACUUUAAGUUGGGAGGAAGGGCAGUAAGCUAAUACCUUGCUGUUUUGACGUUACCGACAGAAUAAGCACCGGCUAACUCUGUGCCAGCCGCCGCGGUAA
rnacentral:rRNA from 1 species